rnacentral:rRNA from 1 species
CCUUCGGGGGGGAGCUAGACUGCGAGUUGUGCGUCUCUAGGCUAUGGUAGAGACGCGGCGUACGGCUCAGUAACACGUGGCUAACCUACCCUUAGGACGGAAACAACCCCGGGAAACUGGGGCUAAUAUCCGAUAGGUGAGGAGGCCUGGAACGGUUCUUAAUCUAAAAGGCAUUGAGACCAUGCUUCUCGGCGUCGCCUAAGGAUGGGGCCGCGCCCGAUCAGGUUGUUGGUGGGGUAACGGCUCACCAAGCCUAUAACCGGUACGGGCCGUGAGAGCGGGAGCCCGGAGAUGGGCACUGAGACAAGGGCCCAGGCCCUACGGGGCGCAGCAGUCGCGAAAACUCCGCAAUGCGCGAAAGCGUGACGGGGCUACCCCGAGUGCCGUCCGCUGAGGAUGGCUUUUCCCCGGUGUAAUGAGCCGGGGGAAUAAGGAGAGGGCAAGUCUGGUGUCAGCCGCCGCGGUAAUACCAGCUCUCCGAGUGGUAGGGAUGAUUAUUGGGCUUAAAGCGUCCGUAGCCGGCUUAGCAAGUCUCCUGUCAAAUUCAGCGACUUAAUCGUUGAGCCGCGGGAGAUACUACUAGGCUAGGAGGCGGGAGAGGCCGACGGUAUUCUCGGGGUAGGGGUGAAAUCCUAUAAUCCCGGGAGGACCACCAGUGGCGAAGGCUGUCGGCCAGAACGCGCUCGACGGUGAGGGACGAAAGCUGGGGGAGCGAACCGGAUUAGAUACCCGGGUAGUCCCAGCUGUAAACGAUGCGGGCUAGGUGUUGGGGUGGCUACGAGCCACUUCAGUGCCGCAGGGAAGCCAUUAAGCCCGCCGCCUGGGGAGUACGGCCGCAAGGCUGAAACUUAAAGGAAUUGGCGGGGGAGCACCACAAGGCGUGAAGCUUGCGGUUCAAUUGGAGUCAACGCCGGG